GGAAGAAACAUUUAUAGAAAAAUUUACAAAUUGAGUCUUGAAGAACGAAACGUGGAAGAAGAAAACAUGAUUUUCUUAAUGAUGAAACAAUGCGUAGAGUCGGAAUUAACUUUCACAUUUUUGAAUAGUUUUCCUAUCACUAGACAAUCUAUAUUUAAGGUUCUAGGUUUCUUCAUUACUCAGGCACUGGUAGUCUACCAAAUAUUUGAUACUUCCAAGAAAAUUGAAUGAGUUAUCUUAAAAGUGUUUUAAUUAAAUGGUUCUAAAUUUAGGAUAUUGCUGUGCAAAAAUACAAAUAUUUGUAAAGAUAUGCCAAUGAAAAAAACGUUUACAUUCUACGAUAAAAGAUAAAAAUUAUUUCCCGCAAGAUGGCGCUACAUACGAAGCUCCAUCUUGCAGCUCUGAAAUGGACAGAGAUUCUGAUUGACCGAAUAUUUAAUGUUAUGUAUUGUUACGUCAUGAAAUUAUGGCGCACGUCAUAAUAUAGUUCAUUUAAAAUUUAUUAACAUUAAUAGCUGUAAUAUA